CUGCUUGCUUCAGCAGCAUGUGUACUGAAAUUGGAGUGAUACAGAGAUUAGCACAGGCCGUGUGCGAGGAUGACACGCACUCUGUGUUUAAAAGAGAAAGUGAUA
rnacentral:snRNA from 1 species